UUUUGUAAAAAUCGCAUCGACAUCGCCCAUUCCUUUAAAAGCGGUUUUUGUUUGAAGGUUCUGAAAGUUUGUUGAUUUUCAAUAAUUUGGCCUUUUGUUCUAUACUUAAUACCUGAUCCCAAUUUGAUACCUAUAUUGACCAAAAUUAGCAAAAAUGAAAUGUAAAGCUUACUUCUGCGGUCGAAGUAAACAAAAACACCCAGAGCUUAGGUACUACAGGUUCCCCAAAGAUACGGCCAUCCGACGGAAAUGGAUACGGUUUUGCGUACGCCACGAGGAUGAAAUACCAUUCUUCGAAAUAAAAGCAAGUAGUCGCCUGUGUAGUGCGCAUUUUCCGGACGGAAAAGCUAAUCAGGAUAAAACUAUAAAUAUACCAAUGCGGAUUGAAGCAUUAGAUGGAUUGUCGGAAACGGAACUUUUUGAAAACGAUUCAGCACUUGGAAACGACAACAAAGAACUUAAGAUCGAAAUUAUUCGGUUGAGAGAUGAGGUCUACAAUCAAAAGAAGGUAGUAGCUCGAUGGAAAAGAAAAUACCAUAGGCUAAAGGCACAACAAAAGCAUAUAAUGGGCAAGAACAAUGCUCGAAAGCUUUUCCGAGAAGACCAGAUGCAACUGCUGUCAGGGGAAGUGACAAAAGUGAAGAAAUGGUCAACGGACACCAUUCUUGAAUGUGAUGAAAUUCGUCGUGCCUGUCCAGGAGGAUAUGACAGGUUAAUUGAAAAAGGGUUUCCCUUCCCAUCUAAAAGAACACUACUUCGACAAAUUUCGCUGAUUGCUAGGGGCGAAGACGACCAUACAUACACCCAAAAAUUGGAAUUCUCGCCAGAUACCGAAUCGAAUUGGCAAGAGCUGGAAUAACUACGAUCCUAUGUUAUCGACUUCAGAAUAGAGAUGUUCCAUGAAUUUAGUUAUAGCAAUUGUCUGUUAAUCUUGAAAAUGACCUAACUUAGGUGCAGAAAUUUCAACAUUUUAAGUGACUCAGACGAUGAAGAUAGUAGUGUCGCAUAUACAAAGUCUUCGGAAAGUGAUAUGACUCCAUGGAAAGCAGAGGAAAUACUUCGAGCAAUUGAUCCAGAUAUUGACCAAUUGUGGAGGAGCACGGUACAGGCGUUUGUCAUGGAAUCCACUAAUCAACUGUAGGAAGGACAAUUCAUCGCGUUGUUGCUGCAAUCACUAGAAGACUCUUUCAGUCCAAAGCACAGAUUAACAGACAU